CGACGAAUCUUCCGCAAUGGGCGCAAGCCUGACGGAGCGACGCCGCGUGUGGGAUGAAGCGCCUUCGGCGUGUAAACCACUGUCAGGGGGUAGAACCAAUGAUCACCCCCAGAGGAAGAGACGGCUAACCCUGUGCCAGCAGCCGCGGUAAGACAGGGGUCUCGAGCGUUAAUCGGAAUUACUGGGCUUAAAGGGUGCGUAGGUGGGCCUGCAAGUGCUCCGUGAAAUCCCCCGGCUCAACCGGGGAACUGCGGGGCAUACUGCGGGCCUUGAGGAAGGUAGGCGCCGAGGGAACAGUAGGUGGAGCGGUGAAAUGCGUAGAUAUCUACUGGAACGCCGAUGGUGAAGACGCUCGGCUGGGCCUUUCCUGACACUGAGGCACGAAAGCGUGGGGAGCAAACAGGAUUAGAUACCCCCGUAGUCC
rnacentral:rRNA from 1 species